rnacentral:rRNA from 1 species
AUUGAACGCUGGCGGCAGGCCUAACACAUGCAAGUCGAGCGGAUGAAGGGAGCUUGCUCCUGGAUUCAGCGGCGGACGGGUGAGUAAUGCCUAGGAAUCUGCCUGGUAGUGGGGGAUAACGUCCGGAAACGGGCGCUAAUACCGCAUACGUCCUGAGGGAGAAAGUGGGGGAUCUUCGGACCUCACGCUAUCAGAUGAGCCUAGGUCGGAUUAGCUAGUUGGUGGGGUAAAGGCCUACCAAGGCGACGUUCCGUAACUGGUCUGAGAGGAUGAUCAGUCACACUGGAACGGAGACACGGUCCAGACUCCUACGGGAGGCAGCAGUGGGGAAUAUUGGAAAAUGGGCGAAAGCCUGAUCCAGCCAUGCCGCGUGUGUGAAGAAGGUCUUCGGAUGGUAAAGCACUUUAAGUUGGGAGGAAGGGCAGUAAGCUAAUACCUGCUGUUUUGACGUUACCAACAGAAUAAGCACCGGCUAACUUCGUG